GGGCCCGCACAAGCGGUGGAGCAUGUGGUUUAAUUCGAUGAUACGCGAGGAACCUUACCAGGGCUUAAAUGUAGUUUGACCGGUCUGGAAACAGACUUUCUCUUCGGAGCAGAUUACAAGGUGCUGCAUGGUUGUCGUCAGCUCGUGCCGUGAGGUGUUAGGUUAAGUCCUGCAACGAGCGCAACCCCUAUUCUUAGUUGCCAGCGGUUCGGCCGGGGACUCUAAGAAGACUGCCAGCGCAAGCUGAGAGGAAGGUGGGGAUGACGUCAAAUCAUCACGGCCCUUACGUCCUGGGCUACACACGUGCUACAAUGGUAGAGACAGAGGGCAGCCACCUGGUGACAGGGAGCGAAUCUAUAAAACCGGUCUCAGUUCGGAUCGCAGUCUGCAACUCGACUGCGUG
rnacentral:rRNA from 1 species